AGGAGAGCAGGAAGCCCCAUCAGCGGGGACGGACUCCCAGGCAUGGUCAGCGGGGCGAGGUUAUCCCACAUAGGAUGGGCCAACCUGGGGACGGAGAGGAGCUGUUUCCACAUGUCAUUUGCAAAGAACAAACAAGCCAGAGUGUCCCUCUCCUGACUUCCGAAGUUACAGCACAGCUAGAAGUUGGAGAAGAGUUGUUUCUGAAUCAUAGAGUUGGAAGAGACCACAAGGGCCAUCCAGUCCAACCCCCUGCCAAGCAGGAAACACCAUCAAAGCAUUCCUGACAGAUGGCUGUCAAGCCUCCGCUUAAAGACCUCCAAAGAGGUCUUUUUACAAUUUGAAUUCAAUGGAAUUACAACUGUUAUAACACUCGGUGGGGGGGGGGGAAUCAUUUCUAUGGUUCAUCAAGACACUCAGCAAUUUUGGGGGGGGGGGAGUGGGAGUUUCGGAACCACUGAAAUAGAAGUGAAAAGCAAUUAGGGGGUUGCGAGGGUGGGGAAACUACACAGGUAAUGUGCAUUGGGUGGAGACAUCCCUGCCCCCUCUCUGGUGUGUACAACAGUGUGCAAACCUGAGAUACACUGGGGGAAAUGGUCUUGCUGCAUUUUAAGCUGCUAAUACAUAGCCUCCGUUCAGAACCAGCUCAUUAUUUCUGACCUUAUCUCAGCAUGCAGACAUCCAUUUUAAAAGUCCAUCUGUUUCAGAGAGCUGUCUCCGAGUUUCUAAUAUUGGCACAUGCAAGCUGAUGGUGCUGUAUGCCAUGUUGCCCUUCAGAAUUAGAGCUCCCAGUGCCAUCCAUAGCUAUUUUGAAAUCCACCCCCACUCCUUCCCAAAAUAACUACAGUACAGAAGUCAGUUCUAGAUCUUGGUCAAACAUCUAGAUCUGGGUCAGAGUGUGAGCUGCAAACCCAAAAGUCUCCACUUCAAACCCUCCCUCAGCCAUGAACUAAGUAGUCUUAGGCUCAUAUCCUAAAUAGGGAGUAGUUCUGAGACCAUUCAUAGGAUUGCAUUGAUCUCUCUUAGCCUCAGUUUUGAAAUCAGGAGAACAUAAUAAUAAUAAUAUACCUGCUGUGCUGCUCCUUCAGAAGCAAUAGAUAAAUGCAAUUAUUAAGAAAGCAUCCGUGACUACUCAUGCACCACUCUCCAAAUUGCAUUAAUGUUCCACUUUCCAAAUUGCAUAAAUUAGGGAAAGCAACUUGCUGUAUAUCCCGUAGGCGCUUGUUAGAAUCCAGAGAAUCCCAGCCUUCAUUAAAAAAAUAAAUAAACUUACAUUCUUUAUGUUGCAGAGCUGCAGUUGAGGGCCAACUGGAACCUCAUCAGGGUAACCUUUCUGGGAGACUAUGAGAAUAAAGCUAGUGAAGGGGCUUGACAAGCUUUUGACAUAUAGCAGUGAAUGGGGAAGGGUGGCCCAGCAAAAGAGCUCCAGGAUCUGAUGCAAGCGGAAAACUUAUUUCACUUUGCAAAAAUGCCUAAGGCUGCAAUCCUAGACCCACUUAGUAGAGAAUAAGCCCCCUUGAAAUUGAGUUAUAAAUUACUUCUGAGUAGACAUAUAUAGGUAUGUACUGCGAGGCUCCUAUGGGCCUGCGUAAUUUAAUAAUGACUUAUUCGUAAGGGAUGAGGAACAACUAUAAAUCUGCUGCUAUGGUUAUUUAGAGGCAUUUGCAGCAUGGCACAGCCCUUACCAAAGUGGAGCCCAAAUGGCCCAGACAAGAAAAUACUUCUUUCUCAUGCUCCAGGUAUUCAUGUUACAAAACAAUUCUGAAAAACACAGAUUCUGAUUUUUUAAAAAAUUGUAAAAUCUGUUAACAUUAGGCAAAAUGAUACUUUUCUCUAAAUUCAGGUUUUCAUGGAAGGUCCUCUUGUCUGUUGUUUAAAGGAAAUGUUGGCAUAACAACAAUUUAUCAAUGUAGUGAUGACAUACACAGAUCAUGUAUGGUUUUACUAGCUAAAACUACCUGUAGUUGCUCAGGAAUUAUAAGAAAAGGGGGGGGGGAAAUUGGCGCUAUUUUGAAAUCAGUGUAACAUUUCAAUGUGAUUUUUAAAUGUUCAGUCUGCCAUCUUGAUUCAAAAUUGUGUCCAAUUGUAACCAAAAACAGACAAAAAACUUGCUCCUUGAUUAUCAGGAACCAUAAUGCACAUAUUAUUUGCAUUCCUCUCUUUGACUUUUUUAUUUUUAUAAGCUGCCACAAGAGCCAAUAAAAUAAAAGUAAAAGUAAACACUAAAUAUAUUUGUAUGAGUCUUUUUAAAAAGCUGUGUGUACAAAAGAGGGUAAUGAAAGAUCUGCAAAUGUAAAGUUAUAUCCUUUUCCAUACUCAGCAAUGGGGAAGCCCUACUUCUGUACUAGGAAUGCUGUCCUGUACACACACUUGCUUAGGAAGCUGAACAAGUAGGAUUACUUCUGGGUAAACAAGGACAGGACCUGUUGUAGGAAACCAGCUACCUAGAGCCGCAAUCCAAAGGAAAACUAGUCAUGUCAUCCUUAAGCCAUGACCAGUGGUAAAGGUAAAGGUAAAGGGACCCCUGACCAUUAGGUCCAGUCGUGACCGACUCUGGGGUUGCGCGCUCAUCUCGCAUGAUUGGCCGAGGGAGCCGGCGUAUAGCUUCCAGGUCAUGUGGCCAGCAUGACAAAGC